UGGGGAAUAUUGCACAAUGGGGGGAACCCUGAUGCAGCGACGCCGCGUGGGUGAAGAAGUAUUUCGGUAUGUAAAGCCCUAUCAGCAGGGAAGACAAUGACGGUACCUGACUAAGAAGCCCCGGCUAACUACGUGCCAGCAGCCGCGGUAAUACGUAGGGGGCAAGCGUUAUCCGGAUUUACUGGGUGUAAAGGGAGCGUAGGUGGCGUGCCAAGUCAGGAGUGAAAACCCAGGGCCCAACUCUGGGACUGCUCUUGAAACUGGCAGGCUUGAGUGCUGGAGAGGUAAGCGGAAUUCCUAGUGUAGCGGUGAAAUGCGUAGAUAUUAGGAGGAACACCAGUGGCGAAGGCGGCUUACUGGACAGUGACUGACACUGAGGCUCGAAAGCGUGGGGAGCAAACAGG
rnacentral:rRNA from 1 species